rnacentral:rRNA from 1 species
AUUGAACGCUGGCGGCAGGCCUAACACAUGCAAGUCGAACGAGUGGCGGACGGGUGAGUAAGGUCUGGGAAACUGCCUGAUGGAGGGGGAUAACUACUGGAAACGGUAGCUAAUACCGCAUACCAUCAGAUGUGCCCAGAUGGGAUUAGCUUGUUGGUGGGGUAACGGCUCACCAAGGCGACGUUCCCUAGCUGGUCUGAGAGGAUGACCAGCCACACUGGACCUGGGACACGCUCCAGACUCCUACGGGAGGAAGCAGGUGGGAAUAUUGCACAUUGGGCUAAAGCCUGAUGCAGCCAUGCCGCGUGUAUGAAGAAGGCCUUCGGGUUGUAAAGUCCUUUCAGCGGGGAGGCGUUACCCGCAGAAGAAGCACCGGCUAACUCCGUGCCAGCCGCCGCGGUAAUUC